rnacentral:rRNA from 1 species
UACGUAGGGGGCAAGCGUUGUCCGGAUUUAUUGGGCGUAAAGAGCGUGUAGGCGGCCUGAAAGGUCAGCUGUGAAAACUCGAGGCUCAACCUCGAGACGUCGGUUGAAACCAUCUGGCUAGAGUCCGGAAGAGGAGUGUGGAAUUCCCGGUGUAGCGGUGAAAUGCGCAGAUAUCGGGAAGAACACCGAUGGCGAAGGCAGGUCUCUGGGCCACUACUGACGCUGAGAAGCGAAAGCAUGGGGAGCGAACAGG